CAUAUUUUCUGCACCAGUAUAAAAGCAUUAGAGUGAAUUAUACAGGUAAAAUAAAGUAUUACAUAUUACCUAGAAAAAUCUGCAUGUAAUAACAAUAAUAUGACAUAUACACAUAAGCUCAAUAUGAGCCAUGUUUUCCACAUAUGUGAAACCAACUAUUACUGUAUCAAGUUGUGCCAUUCACAAUUGAAUUAAUGGAUAAAUGUCUUCAAGCAUAUGCACUAUGUUUCCAGACACUGAAAGGGUUAAAUAGCAUCUGGCUAAUAGAUAUUAGGCUAGUACAGUGAACCGGUAGCAAUACAGCUGUAAAAACUAGACAUAAACUUAUAAAGAAAUCCUUGAUGGAAUAUAAUCUGAUCAUUACCUUUCGAUAUGUUAAGGUAUGAUACAGUGUAAUUUGUUAUGUAUAGUAAUAUCUUUCCCGCAUAUAGCAUUAUUUUAUCUCAGUUACAUAAUCCGUUUUAUCAUUUGUAAUAACAUAAAAGGUAUAUGACCUUGAAUGUUUACUCUAAGUCUGUCUAAAGAUUGCAGCAUUUUAUAAAUAUAUUGGGGUGGCGGUUACCAGUUAGGAGCCUUAAUCAUGGAAGCACACUCAGAGGUAUUUCUCAGAUAUGGAGAUCUUCCUAACCUUGUCCCUUAUUACCCCAGGCUACAUCUUCUAAACCAGCCAUGCUUAACCUGCGGCACUCCAGCUGUUGCAAAACUACAACUCCCAGCAUGCCUGAACAGCCUACAGCUAUCAGCCUACAGCAGGGCAUUGUGGGAGUUAUAGUUUUACAACAGCUGGAGGGCCGCAGGUUGAGCAUGCCUGUUCUAAACCACCCCUGGCCAUAAGCUCAGAUUAGUGUUCUUGAUUUAUUGUGGCAACUGAUACUCCAGAAUUGUACCAGCUGCUAUAAUACAUGUAUCUUCUCUAUGCUGUCUGCUGUCUACGCAGUUAAAAAAGGGCAAAUAACUGGUAACCAGACAGAUUUUAGAUUUGCGAAGUCCAAGGCAGUGCUGAGAAUCCAGAACCAUCGAAGGACAUAGAAUUAGGAAUUCAGGAGUCAC